AUUGAACGCUGGCGGCAGGCCUAACACAUGCAAGUCGACCGAGUGGCGGACGGGUGAGUAAUGUCUGGGAAUCUGCCUGAUGGAGGGGGAUAACUCCUGGAAACGGUAGCUAAUACUGCAUACUUCAAGAUGUGCCCUGAUGGGUUUAGCUAGUUGGUGGGGUAAAGGCGCACCAGGGCGACGAUCCCUAGCUGGUCUGAGAGGAUUACCAGCCACACUGGAACUGAGACACGGUCCAGACUCCUACGGGAGGCAGCAGUGGGGAAUAUUGCACAAGGGGCGCAAGCCUGAGGCAGCCAUGCCGCGUGUAUGAAGAAGGCCUUCGGGUUGUAAAGUACUUUCAGCGGGGAGGCGUUACCCGCAGAAGAAGCACCGGCUAACUCCGUGCCAGCAGCCGCGGUAAUAC
rnacentral:rRNA from 1 species